ACAGCAGCCGCCGCGGGAAUACGGAGGGUGCAAGCGUUAAUCGGAAUUACUGGGCGUAAAGCGUGCGUAGGUGGUGGUUUAAGUCCGUUGUGAAAGCCCUGGGCUCAACCUGGGAAUCGCAGUGGAUACUGGGUCACUAGAGUGUGGUAGAGGAUAGUGGAAUUUCCGGUGUAGCAGUGAAAUGCGUAGAGAUCGGAAGGAACAUCUGUGGCGAAGGCGACUAUCUGGGCCAACACUGACACUGAGGCACGAAAGCGUGGGGAGCAAACAGGAUUAGAUACCCCAGUAGUCCCUGUCUCUUAUAC
rnacentral:rRNA from 1 species